GGGGCUGUGGCUCAGUGGUAAAGCAUAUGCUUUGCAUGCAAAAGGUCCAAGUUCAAUCCCUGGCAAGUUCCA